rnacentral:rRNA from 1 species
AAAGGAAUAGACGGGGGCCCGCACAAGCAGUGGAGUAUGUGGUUUAAUUCGACGCAACGCGAAGAACCUUACCAGGGCUUGACAUGUAUAGGAAUACUUAAGAGAUUAAGUAGCUCUUUUAGAGCUUAUACACAAGUGGUGCAUGGUUGUCGUCAGCUCGUGUCGUGAGAUGUUGGGUUAAGUCCCGCAACGAGCGCAACCCCUAUGUUUAUUUACUACCAUUAAGUUGAGAACAUUAAACAGACUGCCAAUGAAAAAUUGGAGGAAGGUGGGGACGACGUCAAAUCAUCAUGCUCUUUAUGUCCUGGGCUACACACGUACUACAAUGGGGAGACCAGAGGGAAGCGAAGUAGUGAUACGGAGCCAAACCCGAAAGCUCUUCUAAGUUCGAAUUGCAGAUUGAAACUCAUCUGCAUGAAGCCGGAAUUGCUAGUAAUGGCAGGUCAUCAUACUGCCGUGAAUACGUUCCCGGGCCUUGUACACACCGCCCGU